rnacentral:rRNA from 1 species
UACGUAGGGCGCAAGCGUUGUCCGGAAUUAUUGGGCGUAAAGAGCUCGUAGGCGGUUUGUCGCGUCUGCUGUGAAAACCUAAGGCUCAACCUUGGGCUUGCAGUGGGUACGGGCAGACUAGAGUGCGGUAGGGGUGACUGGAAUUCCUGGUGUAGCGGUGGAAUGCGCAGAUAUCAGGAGGAACACCGAUGGCGAAGGCAGGUCUCUGGGCCACUACUGACGCUGAGAAGCGAAAGCAUGGGGAGCGAACAGG